rnacentral:ncRNA from 2 species
CAUAUCAUAAACAUUCUAGGUGCCUUUGUGAGAACAAGGGGUAACAGGGAAUCGGGUGAAAAUCCCGAGCGGACCCGCCACUGUAAAACAGAGUUUUCUUUCAUAGUGCCACUCAAAUAAUACGUUUGGGGAAGGCGAACGAAAGCGUUAAUCUGUAAGUCAGGAGACCUACCUAGUUUUGAACACCAUC